rnacentral:rRNA from 1 species
UACGUAGGGUGCGAGCGUUGUCCGGAAUUAUUGGGCGUAAAGAGCUCGUAGGCGGUGUGUCACGUCGGCCGUGAAAACCUGCAGCUUAACUGUGGGCGUGCGGUCGAUACGGGCAUCACUGGAGUUCGGCAGGGGAGACUGGAAUUCCUGGUGUAGCGGUGAAAUGCGCAGAUAUCAGGAGGAACGCCGGUGGCGAAGGCGGGUCUCUGGGCCGAUAUUGACGCUGAGGAGCGAAAGCGUGGGGAGCAAACAGG